GGCUCGGUAGUGGAGAGUCCACGCCCACCUCUCGUUCUGAGGAAUAUUGGAAUGUGUUUGUGGGAGCGCCCGUUCAACUCGGGACCGGGCCA